AGUGAACGCUGGCGGCGUGCCUAAUACAUGCAAGUCGAACGGAGUGGCGCACGGGAGAGUAAUGUAUAGCUAAUCUGCCCUCCACUAGAGGACAACAGACGGAAACGACUGCUAACACUCUAUAGUGUAGGAUGAGGCUAUAUUGUACCAGCUAGUUGGUUAGGUAAUGGCUCACUAAGGCUAUGACGCAUCACUGGUCUGAGAGGAUGAUCAGUCACACUGUAACGGAGACGCGGUCCAGACUCCUACGGGAGGCAGGAGUAGGGAAUAUUGCUCAAUGGGGGAAACCCUGAAGCAGCAACGCCGCGUGGAGGAUGACACUUGUCAGAACGGAAACUCCUUUUGUUAGGGAAGCGGUACCGAACGAAUAAGCACCGGCUAACUCCGUGCCAGCAGCCGCGGUAAUAC
rnacentral:rRNA from 1 species